CAUGAAAUGUGGGAAUCAUAUUUCCAUGGGAAUACAACUUUUCUAUCUCUCUCUUUUGAAAACUCCAAUCAAACAAGAGGCAUAUCAUUACUUUCCUAUUGACCACACUUUCCCUCCUUAUAUUCUUGCAAACCAAACGAGCCCUGAGAACCAUGUGCUCGUCCUUGACCCAUUCGGAAAAGUCGGGCCACCUUUAACCCACCCUACAGGUACAUCUAAAUCUUUCGACCUAUCUUAUCUUGUGCGAUGUAGAGUUAGACUGGAUGGGUUGAUUCUAGUAAAAUUGCAAAAAAAUUUCGAGAUAUAUCAAAUAAAUAGAAUAAUAAAAUAUUAAAUUUUAGAAUUUAACAAAAAUUUUAAGAUACAGACCAUAGCAAACCAAAUAUUCAACAAUAAUACAAACAACAAAUAAAGUAUUAUUAUUUAUAAAAUCAAAAAAUACCUUGAACUAAGAAAAUCAAAUGGCUGUGUCAUUAGCCACCUUCGCUCCCAAACCACUGCAGGUUUGGUUUUUUAUAUGCAUCCAUGUCUCUCCGGCUCUAAAUGGGUCAAUAAAAUCUGCCUUAUUAGAAUCAUAUAGGAUCAAGUAUCCAACUGGGUAGUAUAAAUUGCCACCCCUUCAUCACUCGCAAGGCCAUUUAUCCUUGUAGAGAAAGGCAUGGAGCUCCACCGAGGGAACACAGAGAGCUAUGUUCCAAACAAAAACUCAAGAGCCUUGUUUGAGCUAGUCUCGAAAUGCCGCUUACCAAGGCUAGUUCAAAUGUUGCUCUACGGCGUCAUAUGUGCAGUAUGUAAUUCAAGGACCAAAAUGUAGUUCAAACUAGAACUUCUAGCUAAUUUUGUUUAAGUUUCAUCCCAUCUGCUGAGAUUAGUUCAAAUGUUUCUCUCUUUCAACUAAUCGCAUCGCUUAAUAUUAAGAGGAACCAAGCACCCCUUCCUUGUUUUGACUGAACUUGAACACGCUACCAUUAGUAUUUAAUUUUUAGUCCUACACAUAUUUAUAUGAGAUUUACACAUGCCUGCAUUUAUAUUGCACACACAAAUAAUAACUCUUGUAUACAAUUAUAUUGCCCAUGCAUACAGUUAUACUAUCCCUGUAUACACUUGUACAUGCGUGCGCAGAGUUAUCUAUAACUGUGUAUAUAUUGGGAUAUAAUUAUAUACAAUUGCUAGGGACUUAAAACUAAAGAAAAUUUGAAACUUGAGAUGGAUGUUAAAGUCCCCGACAGCAGGUAUUAAAAGUUGCAGUCCGGUCAAAGGUGAGACUCAAAAUAUGAAUUAAGAAGUCUUAAAGUGUAAAGUGUUAGGAAAGACCCCUUCACUAGAUGAAAAGUUUCCUAUCUUUGUGUGAGUAGAAUGAGAAUACCACAAUAAUUAAUCAAUGUAAGAACCACCAAAAAAACAAACCACAAGAAAGAGACAAGAAUUUUUAGGUGGAAAAACCUCCAAUAUGAGGGGAAAAAACCACCGGACCUAAGUCCACCACAAACCUCCACUAUCAACAAUAAUGGGCUUACAAAGUAUCUUCUCUAGGCUAAGCUAGAGGAUCACAUACAUCAAGGAUCUCUUCCUUGGAUCACAAACAAAGA